GGGGAUAUAGCUCAGCUGGGAGAGCGCUUGACUGGCAGUCAAGAGGUCAGGGGUUCAAGUCCCCUUAUCUCCACCA
rnacentral:tRNA from 2 species